AACCUUGAACUUCAAUGUGGGGUUCAAUGAAACCACCCCCAUGCGUGUCCCAUUGGGAUGUGAGACUCAACUGAAGGGUACACCUAGUACAGAAAAUCUUUGUGUCUAUGCAGACCUAGUUUCAUCUCCUAGCCUUCCCUCUACCUCUCUUCCAGACUUUACAAUAAUGGGCUCCCAAAGAAUCUUAUUAGAGUCUAAAGCUUCACUGGAGACAAAGGAGCAGACAGAUCAUCUGUGGGUAACUGAAUCCCCAUGUCCCCAUAUACCACCUCUAGUCCCCUUUAUACAAUCACAAAGAAUCAACACUGUGAAUGACUUCCCUAGAGCAGAAACUAUAGGGAGUAAUACUGAGGAUACAAGAAAACGCUUGCCUUCUGAGCCUCCAUUUCUGAACCUCAACCCAUCCCCAGCUCUUGCACAGCAACCCCUUAGAGUCAGCCCCAUAGAGAACCCAUUUAAAUCUGAAGCUUGGAGUAGGGACACUCAAAGGGAAAAUAACUCCUUGGCCUCUGAGCUUCCAGCUCAAAGACUAUCCCAACACUUACUUGGACCCAGCCCCGCAGUAUUAUCUGACUUUGAGUCUGCUAGAGGGUUCAUGAAGCAGAAUGAAAACCACUGUGUUUCUGUAUCCCCGGUCUGGGACCCCAGUCCACAUGCACACUCUGCUUUGAAGUUUCACGUAAGUGAGCCUUCUGGAGACCAGUGCAUGGAGGCCAUGGAUUCAGUAGUAGAGAGGAUGGAUUCCUGGGCCAACCAACUACCAGCCCCCAGCUUCUUCCCUGCUCUGUCACAAGAGC
rnacentral:lncRNA from 1 species